AGUAGGUACAAUGGUGUGCUUAGAAGUGUUCGGCGUAAGCCUGCAUGGAGCCGCUAUUGGUACAGAUCUUGGUGGUAGUAGCAAAUAAUCGAAUGAGACCUUGGAGGACUGAAGUGGAGAAGGGUUUCGUGUGAACAGUGGUUGAUCACGAGUUAGUCGGUCCUAAGUUCAAGGCGAAAGCCGAAAAUUUUUAAGUUAUUAAUGAAAAUAAUAAAUAUGAAUUUAUUUAAUAUUGAAAUUAUAUGCUUAAAUAUUUUUGAACGAAAGGGAAUACGGUUCCAAUUCCGUAACCUGUUGAGUAUCCGUUUGUUAUUAAAAAUGGGCUUUUUGCUCAUCCUGGCAACAGGAACAACCAUAAAGAAGCCGUCGAGAGAUAUCGGAAGAGUUUUCUUUUCUGUUUUAUAGUCGUACUACCAUGGAAGUCUUUCGAAGAGAGAUAUGGUAGAUGGACUAGAAGAGCAUGACAUUUACUGUUGUGUCGAUAUUUUCUCCUCGGACCUUGAAAAUUUAUGGUGGGGUUACGCAAACUUCUCAACAGGCCGUACCGAUAUCCGCAGCUGGUCUCCAAGGUGAAGAGUCUCUAGUCGAUAGAAUAAUGUAGNAAGUCUUU
rnacentral:rRNA from 1 species